UUCCCAUGCCUGGAAUAGAACACGGGUCGCCUGGGUGAAAGCCAGGAAUCCCAACCACAAGACUACAUGGGA
rnacentral:tRNA from 13 species